GACGAACGCUGGCGGCGUGCUUAACACAUGCAAGUCGAACGGAAAGGCCCUGCUUUUGUGGGGUGCUCGAGUGGCGAACGGGUGAGUAACACGUGAGUAACCUGCCCUGGACUUUGGGAUAACUUCAGGAAACUGGGGCUAAUACCGGAUAGGAGCUCCUGCUGCAUGGUGGGGGUUGGAAAGUUUCGGCGGUUGGGGAUGGACUCGCGGCUUAUCAGCUUGUUGGUGGGGUAGUGGCUUACCAAGGCUUUGACGGGUAGCCGGCCUGAGAGGGUGACCGGCCACAUUGGGACUGAGAUACGGCCCAGACUCCUACGGGAGGCAGCAGUGGGGAAUAUUGCACAAUGGGCGGAAGCCUGAUGAAGCAACGCCGCGUGCGGGAUGACGGCCUUCGGGUUGUAAACCGCUUUCGCCUGUGACGAAGCGUGAGUGACGGUAAUGGGUAAAGAAGCACCGGCUAACUACGUG
rnacentral:rRNA from 1 species